rnacentral:lncRNA from 1 species
UGCCGAGCUUUUUUCCCGUUUCGAGCCGAAUCCUUAUAUCGUUGAUAUGUGAAGUCAAUGCACUAUUAUUGUCUUUAUACUGCAAUCUAAAAAAAACCCAUUUUCAAUUAUUGUUUAAUGUGUUAAUGUUAUUAUUUGCUUAAAUAUUGGAAACUUCUCCCUUUUAUAAAAAGGCCUCAUAUCAUGCAGGCGGUGAAAUAUACAA